rnacentral:rRNA from 1 species
UACAGAGGUGCCGAGCGUUAGGCGGAAUCACUGGGCUUAAAGCGUGUGUAGGCGGACGUCUAAGUACCUUGUGAAAUCCCACGGCUCACCCGUGGAACUGCUGGGUAUACUGGGCGUCUUGAGCCACCUAGGGGCCAGCGGAACAAAUGGUGGAGCGGUGAAAUGCGUAGAUAUCAUUUGGAACGCCAACGGUGAAGACAGCUGGCUGGGGGUGUGCUGACGCUGAGACACGAAAGCGUGGGUAGCAAACAGG